UCCUUCCCAUUAUCACACUACUGCAUGUCUACAGCACAGUUGAUGGGCAUAACCCUUCUUAGCAACAGUGAGCAGCUGAGCAGAAAGUAAUUGCAGGAGGCAAAGCCAAGAGGAAAACUGCUGAGAGUGCUGACGAGUAGGUGGAGAGAACAGAAGCACACACCAUAGGGUGCAAUCUUAGUGAACUUUGUUUUCCCUCAAUGGAGGUACGUUCAGACCCAGGCCUGUCUCAUUCAUUCCCCCUGCUAGGGCACUGAAUGGCUUGGACUCAGGAGUUGGGAAGGACAUGGGGAAGUUGCUUUCCCAGUGGUGAGGACCGUGGCCACCGUGUGUAUACAGCAAGAACAGAACCCAGUGCUUUAAGUGAAGAGCAGAGACAGCUCCUGGCUCUGGAUGGGGUCGAAGUCUUCGCUGUUCCAAGGAAAGCUCCCAGCUGACCAUUGCCCUCUUCUCUUGGAAAGCGCCACAGCUACCUUCCACCACUCCUGGAGCAAUUUUCCAGCCUGAGGAAAAUAUCCUAAGGAAAUUGCAAGGCCAGUUGCCUCGCCGGGAAGCCAGACACACCAACCUCUGCACUCAGCACCUGACUCUGCACCCAGCACCAGGUUCUGCACUCGGCACCUAGCUCUGCCACAUGGCUCCCCUGGAAGCCUCCAGCUGAUGCAACCCUGGCCAGCUCUUGCACCAGAAAACCUGCCUAACAACCCGCCAACCAAUGGCGGCCUGACCCGUCCCAUUCCCGCUCCCCUGGAGCCAAUCAGAGCACCCAGCUGUUGCUCUUUCCUCAUAGCCAUAAAAACCCCCUGCCCCAGGAAGUCAGCGCGACUUCUCUGGCCCCCCUUUCCCCAGACCAGGGAACUCGCCCAGGAGCUGAUUAAAUUUCUUUAUUUCAAUAACUGGCCUCAGUUGCCUUAUUCGCCUCAUUCGAACCUCAGUGGCCUCAUUCAAACCGUACAUUUGGUGCCAAAACCCAGGAGGAGCCUAGCCCCUCUUCCUUUCCCUUUUUGGGAAGGGGUGGUUCCUCACCCAGAAGCUGAACCAGGAAUCCGUCAACCUCCACGGUGUCACUGGUCACCACACGGUAAGACACGAGGUAAAAUAUUUGGUGCUGCCUAACUAAACCUGCUGCUCGGAACCUCACCCCCACCUACUCCCAGGAGCACUCCUGUCCAUAGUCACGGCCGUGCCAGGAGGGCCCCUCCUCACUCCAGGUUAGAAGUUCCACAGAGACCUCCAGGAGCUUCCCCUGCCAAAGCGCCAAGGAGACAUCUUUCUGCUCUGGUCUUUCUCCCUUACCCUCGUACUCAGAACGAGAACUGGGACACCAGUUCCCGUUCCUAACUACUCCAUAGCGGUGAGUGAAUUCUGAGCAGCAAAUCCAGAUUCAGCUGUAUUCUCAGCUCCUGUUUCUGCUCCUAUCUUCUCUCUCUCUCUCUUUUAAGAUGGCGGCCAUUUCCUGUUUCUGCUCCUAUCUUCUCACUCUCUCUCUCUCUCUUAAGAUGGUGGCCAUUUCCCGUUUCCCUUUGUGUUUCUGUUUCUGUCUUCUAACGUCCUUCUCCUAAAAUGGUCAUCCUCCGUCUUCUCCUUCUAUACUGCCCCUCAACCAUACGCCAAUUAAAUCCUACCCACAAAUCCUCCGCCAUAUGUGGAACCUCAGCUCCCCACCCCCCAGGUCCUCCUCUUCCUGGUUCCAUCCUAGCCUCUCCUGUCACUUCUCAUACUCGCUCGCACCGUGCUCCUAAUGAUGAAACCUCCCUCCUUUGCCCCCUUCGCAAGGUUGCCAGAGCGGAAGGCAUUGUUCGCGUACGUGUUCCCUUCUCCCUCUCUGAUCUAUCAGCCAUUGAGAAAUGCCUAGGGUCAUUUUCCACCAAUCCUACUGCUUACACCAAAGAAUUCUGCUACCUCACCCAGGCUUACAACCUCACCUGGCAUGAUACCUAUGUGAUUCUGUCCUCCACCCUCACACCAGAUGAGCGUGACUGCAUCCUUACAGUGGCCCAGGCACAUGCUGAUCAGGUACCACAGACAAAUGCCAGUAGGUGCGGCAGUGGUCCCCGAGGCCAACCCUAAUUGGAACUAUCAAACUUGUCAAGAUGGCUGCCGCCACCGAGACCAAAUGCUACAGUGCCUCCUAGUGGGCAUGCAAAGUGCAGCCCAAAAGGUAGUUAAUUAUGAUAAGUUAAGGGAAAUAACUCAGGGUCCUACUGAAAACCCCGCUGCCUUUCUCGACCGAUUAACUAAUGCUAUGAUCCUUCAUACCCGGCUGGACCCAGCCUCUUUACCAGGGGCUACAGUCCUAGCCACCCAUUUCAUCUCUCAGUCAGCAGCUGACAUUAGAAAGAAACUUAAAAAGGCUGAGUAGGGCCCCCAAACUCCCAUAUGAGACCUGGUAAACAUGGCAUUUAAAGUUUUUAAUGGCUGAGAGGAAAAGGCUGUGGCCACCUGCCAGGCCCAUCUACAGCAAAAGGUAAGCCUCCAAACCCAAGCUCUUGUGGUAGCCCUGAAGCCGGCAACCCACCAGGCUCCUGGCGGAGGGGGUCCAUCAAAACCCACCAAGAACUCCAGAGGAGUUCUGCCUGGGCCCUGUUUCAAGUGUGGUCAGGAGGGACACUGGGCACGUCAGUGUCCAUGUCCCCAACCACCUACCAAGCCCUGCCCGGACUGCAAGCAGCUUGGAUAUUGGCACAGUGAUUGCCCAUCCUGGACUACAGGCCCACCCCCUGCACCUCUAUGUGGAGGUAAGGCCAGUCCGCAGGAAGCAAUCCCAUCACUUGAACUUCUUGGCCUUCUGGAUGACUGACGCAGCCUGGACUCAAAGACCCCCAUCACCCUUGCCGAGCCCAGGGUAACACUGCAGGUAGCAGGUAAGUCCAUUUCCUUCUUAGUGGACAUGGGCACUACCUAUUCUGUAUUGCCUUCCUACUCAAGGACCUAGCAUACCUUCCCAGGUUUCAGUCAUGGUAAUUGAUGGAAAGCCUUCCUGUCCUAAUCAAACCCAUCCUUUAGCCUGUGUUCUCAAGGGACACCCCAUUUCCCACUCUUUUUAAAUUAUACCCUCGUGCCCAGUCCCUCUUGUAGGAUGAGACAUUCCCCAGACUGUGGGGGCCACUCUCCAACUCACUGGCCCUCCACACUCAAGCCCAUCAUCUGCCCACCUCCUACUGCCACUCCUAACCGAUGCCACGCCCUGUCUUAACUCCUUGUCCCAAUCUCCUAUCCCUUCUGACGUAGUUAAUCCCCUGGUAUGGGAUAUCUCCAAGCCUGUAGUAGCCAAACAUCAUCCCCAGGUUAAGAUUCUUCUCAAAAAUCCUACCCACUUUCCUUCGCAUCCUCAGUUCCCCAUCUCGAAGGCCCACCGUCAAGGCCUGAAGCCUAUCAUCACCUGCCUGCUAGCCCAGGAACUACUUAUUCCUACCAGUUCCCCUUGUAACACUCCUAUCUUGCCGGUCCAAAAGCCGUCCGGUGGCUACCACCUGGUUCAGGUGCCUCAUUCGAACCUCAGUUACCUCAUUCAAACCUUACAGAAAUAAUCAAAAGAUGCAUCAAGAAUUUAUGAACAAAAGAUAGUCACUGCAGAGCCAUCACUGAGAAGAACCGGAAAAGACUUAACAUGCCUUUCAGGUGGGGCCUGGCUCUGCAAAUCCUCAUCUAUCUCUCUGAUAGAAUGGGGUGCAUCCAGUCAUGGAAUCAUCCGUGCCACAAGCAGUUAUUCAGUACCUACUCUGCGUUAGGUAAACAAUGCAGAGUAUUGUUAACUUGGCUGGGUAAACAGGUAAGUUAUCAGUGCCCCAGAAGAUGCAGUCACUAAAAUCCAUGAUUUCCUAAAGUAAAACAAUUUAAAAUUGUUCACAUUAUUUGUGUGUGUGUGGGGGGGCAUUUUAUUGCCCUUCACUUCUCAUUCCCCCCCUCCCCUGCCACUCCCUCAAGCAGUUGCCAAAUUCAAAUAAUUUUUCCUUCAAUGCUUCUCCAGUCUGUGACCUCUCCUUUUCUUUCAAAAGCAAAUCCUAAGGCUGGGAGGUAACCUGAUCACCGAGGAACACAAACCUGGAAAUCUUCGGAUUGGUUUCUGGUUCCAGGAAGUUGCGUGACUUUGGGCAAAUCACAUCACCUCUGCGAGUGUUUCUAAUCAGAAUAAAGGGCUGGACCAAUCUUCCAGAUCCUUUGAAUCCAAUCAUUUUGGCCUUAUGACGGAACCAUCUGUAGAUGAGGGCAUCUGAACCCCAGUUAAAGGGAGGGGUACAGUGAAGCCCCUCAAGAUCUGAGAUGCUUUUCCUGGACAUUUAAAAGGCAAAGGGUUGUCUAGAGUGAAAGUAUAAGACAGACAGGCCCUGUCCCAGGCAGCUCACUGCACUCCGCUCUUCUUUCCAGCAGACCCCAAACUUUGCUACAGCCAGCUUUAGCAAGCAGGCCUGUCAUCCUUUCAGGUGCGAUGUAAUAUCAAGAAGCAGCAGCUGACAAUUAUUGGGUGCUACUAAGGGCAGGAGAUUUGCAGUUCCUUCCCUUUCACACAAAAGUAUGAGGUCUGUUUUACUAUUCUCAUUCUAAAGGCAAAAUGGAGGCUCACGGAGGUUACAGAACUUAUGGGAAGUGACAGGGCUAUUUGCCACCUUUAUACUGGCCGGUCUUCCUCUUUUUCUCAAAGGGUGGGGUGGGGGAGCAGCCUCUCGUGUUAUCACCCUUUCCUGCCGCAGAAAACAGAAGUGUAGGUCAGUAUGGUAGCACAAGUUUGUUGAUUACCAACUGGGAGACAGAGAUGAGAUGACUCACAAGCAUGUAGGUUAGCAGGGCUGCAGAAGUUUAUAAAUGAUCUUAGAAUCUCCUGCAGCCCCAUUCUUUCAUUUGGUAACCGACCUCCUCCCUGCCCUCAGCCUCAUAGCACCCUUCCCCCACUAGGGUGAAGGGUCAGCUCUGAAAAUGCAGUCAGGAAGGAACAAUGAAUGUCUUCUCUCCGCCUGAGAGAAAUAAAAUUUGCAUCUCAGAUGAGCUCAGAUUGGUGACGCCUCCUUCGGACUCCGAUCCUUGCAGUCAAUCUCUGCUCUGGGAAUUUCCUGUGACCUGUUAAGGUUUGCUGCUCCAAAGGAAUAAGGAGUAUUCUUUGACAUUUAUGUCCAUUUAACUCAGGAAUGUAAAAAGGCAGGUUAGAGUUCUAUGGACACCCUGAAAUUGUACAUAAGAGUGUGCGCACACAUAGGUGCGUUUUCCUGGGGAUGGUUGUUCAUAGCUUUCCUUAGAUUGUUAAAGGAAUUUAUAGCUACCCAAGGUUAAAAACUUCCGUGAGGAGUGUGAUAAAGGAGGAACAGUGGUGCAAAUCCUGUGGGAGGGGGAAUGACUUAACAAACCCAGAAGUGAGGGUGGGAGGGAAAUAUUCAGGUGAGACUCAAUUCAGAGGUAGGAUUUUUUUUUCGGAGGUAACUUUUUUUGUGUUCUUACUGUGUGCCAGGCAUUGCUUUAAAAUAUAUGAGGCCAAGAGCAGUGGCUCACGCCUGUAAUCCCAGCACUUUGGGAGACUGAGGUGGGUGGAUGACUUGAGGUCAGGAGUUCGAGACCAGCUUGGCCCACAUGGUGAAACCCCGACUCUACUAAAAGUAGAGAAAUUAGCCAGGCGUGGUGGCAUGCCGUAGUUGCAGCUACUCAGGUGGCCAAGGAACGAGAAUCUCUUGAACCUGGGAGGCGGAGGUUGCAGUGAGACCAGAUUGUGCUACUGCACUCCAGCCUAGGCAACAGAGGAGACUCUGCUUCAAAAAAUAAAAAUAAACAAUAAACUAAAAUAUAUGAGAAUUAGGUAAUUCUUUUUCUUUUUUUCUUGAGAUGGAGUCUUGCUCUUUUGCCUAGGCUGGAAUGCAAUGGCGGGAUCUCACUGCAACCUCUGCCUCCCAGGUUCAAGCGAUUCUCCUGCCUCAGCCUCCCAAGUAGUUGGGAUUACAGGCACACACCACCACACCCAGCUCAUUUUUUGUAUUUUUAGUAGAGACGAGGUCACCAUAUUGGCCAAUCUGGUCUCAAAUUCCUGACCUCAAGUGAUCCACCCAACUCAGAUUACAAGUGUGACCCACUGUGUCCAGUCCUGGGCUUUUUGACAUCCUUUUAUUUUUUUCUUUGGUAAAGUGUAUAUUCAAAUCAUUUGCCCUUUUUUUGUUGUUGGGCUGUUUAUCUUACUGAAUUGUGAGGGUUCAUUCUAUACUCUGAAUGCAAGUUCUUUGUCAGAUAUGUGUGUUGCUAAUAUUCAGUACCAGUCUGUGGCUUAUCUUUGCAUCCUCCUAAAUUUCUUUCAAACAGCAUACGUUCUGACAUGGAGUAAUUAGUCCUGGGCCUGGCAGAUUUCUUUCUUUCAGGACCCGAGGCCUCUGCUGCAAACAUGUUCUACAAGAUCCUUGGUCAGAAUAAGCAGCAUAUGAGCUUGAUAACUGUUAUGGUCAUAAUGUUUGUAUCCCAUCAAAAUUUGUAUGUUGAAACCUCAU